rnacentral:rRNA from 1 species
AGAGUUUGAUCCUGGCUCAGGACGAACGCUGGCGGCGUGCUUAACACAUGCAAGUCGAACGAUACCAGAGAGCUUGCUUUCUGGGAAAGUGGCGCACAGGUGCGUAACGCGUAUGCAACCUACCUUAAUCAGGGGGAUAGCCUCUCGAAAGAGAGAUUAACACCGCAUAAAAUCACAAGCUGGCAUCAGCAAAUGAUCAAAUAUUUAUAGGAUUAAGAUGGGCAUGCGUGACAUUAGUUAGUUGGUGAGGUAACGGCUCACCAAGGCGACGAUGACUAGGGGAUCUGAGAGGAUGACCCCCACACUGGUACUGAGACACGGACCAGACUCCUACGGGAGGCAGCAGUAAGGAAUAUUGGUCAAUGGAGGCAACUCUGAACCAGCCAUGCCGCGUGCAGGAAGACGGCCCUAUGGGUUGUAAACUGCUUUUAUUCGGGAAUAAACCUCUUUACGUGUAGAGAGUUGAAUGUACCGAAAGAAUAAGGAUCGGCUAACUCCGUGCCAGCAGCCGCGGUAAUACGGAGGAUCCAAGCGUUAUCCGGAUUUAUUGGGUUUAAAGGGUGCGUAGGCGGCCUAUUAAGUCAGGGGUGAAAGACGGUGGCUCAACCAUCGCAGUGCCCUUGAUACUGAUGGGCUUGAAUACACUUGAGGUAGGCGGAAUGUGACAAGUAGCGGUGAAAUGCAUAGAUAUGUCACAGAACACCAAUUGCGAAGGCAGCUUACUAAGGUGCAAUUGACGCUGAGGCACGAAAACGUGGGGAUCAAACAGGAUUAGAUACCCUGGUAGUCC